rnacentral:rRNA from 1 species
UACGUAGGGUGCAAGCGUUGUCCGGAAUUAUUGGGCGUAAAGAGCUCGUAGGCGGUCUGUCGCGUCGGCUGUGAAAACCUGGGGCUCAACCCCGGGCCUGCAGCCGAUACGGGCAAGCUAGAGUUCGGUAGGGGAGACUGGAAUUCCUGGGUGUAGCGGUGAAAUGCGUAGAUAUCUGGAGGAACAUCAGUGGCGAAGGCGGGCUUCCUGGUCCAACACUGACACUGAGGUGCGGAAAGCGUGGGGAGCAAACAG